AGAGUUUGAUCAUGGCUCAGAACUAACGCUGGCGGCGUGGCUUAGGCAUGCAAGUCGAACGGCAAAGUCCGCAAGGACGAGUAAGUGGCGAAAGGGUGAGUAGUACUCGGGCAAUCUGCCCCUCGGUCGAGGAUAGCCGCUGGAAACGGCGGGUAAUACUGGAUCGGCUCACGAAAACCGAGGUUUUCGCGAGGAAAGGUGGGGAUCCGCAAGGACCCUCCGCCGAGGGAGGAGCUCGAGCCCUAUCAGGUAGUUGGCGGGGUAACGGCCCACCAAGCCUACGACGGGUACCCGGACUGAGAGGUCGGCCGGGCACACUGGCACUGAGACACUGGCCAGACUCCUACGGGAGGCUGCAGUCGAGAAUCUUCCGCAAUGGGCGCAAGCCUGACGGAGCGACGCCGCGUGGAGGAAGAAGGCCUUCGGGUUGUAAACUCCUGUCACGACUUAUGAACGCCGGGGGGGUAAUUACCUCCGGGUGACAAAGGGUCGGAAGGAAGCCACAGCUAACUUCGUGCCAGCAGCCGCGGUAAUAC
rnacentral:rRNA from 1 species